CUUCCUUCCAGGGCACACAGCAGUGAAAGGACAGAACUGAGAAUAGAACCCUCGGCCGCCCAGAGCCUCUGUCUCCGUGACCUGUGACCUCUGGGGGAGAAUGCAAAUGCAGUUCCCACUACCACAAAUUAUGCAGCUGAGUUGCCCACAUUUGGGGAAAUCCCAGGGGCCAGCACAUCCGGAGUGCAGUGUAUCCUCACCUUGGGAAAAUCACCUUUGUGAUCAUGGUAUCUCCCCUGCCAGGAAGAAGUCAAGAUAAAGGGAAAAAAGAUGAAAUACAAAUGACACACUACUCUUGAGGGAAGAAGAGAUCAAGGCUUUGACAGUGGGGAUCUUCCUGACAGCAUGAAGUCCUUACAGAAAAAUUAACAACUGACCUUUCUCAUGUUGAA